rnacentral:lncRNA from 10 species
GGCUGUUCAAGUGAUUUUUAAUCAAGUACCCCACAUGACUAAUUCAGGUCCUCCAAAAUAGUCCCAGGGAGCCAAAAUGAGGUAAUAUGACAUGUUGUGGACUUGAAGGGUGGUUAAGGACACAUACAGCCACUGCUUCAGAUGCCGCUGUGAGGCAGAAAAUUCAGGAAUGCAGUAGAGGAGGGGAAUGUGAACCCAGAAUGCACUCAGUGUCUCUCCUUCAGACGCUUUUUUGACCCUCGGAAGCCUGGUCUGCUCAGGUCAAUUCUGCAACCCAUCUCACAGGCAUAAAUCUUGACAUGGUCUUCACACCCUUUUCCUCUGGCCCCUAAUUACAAUUCUGCUAUUUAUUUCUCAACACAGCCUACAUUUCGUGUGUUUCUCGUAUGAAUGAGUUGCAGUAGGAGGAGGGAAACCAUUUUUUUUUUUUUUUUUGGAGAGAGGGCUAUGAUAUUUUUGGUCCUCUGAAAAUGAAUCCAAAACAAUAAAACAAGCUGAAUGUUUUCCUCUAGUGGAAAGAAAGAAAGCAAACCUACUACAGGUAAAUUGAAAUCUUCAAACAGACCCAUAACACACUGCUGAGACAUUCUUGAGAUGAUGGCUUUAGUUAGACUGGGGCCACACAUCUUUACAUUUCUUCAUUCACCUGGCAGGACUAAUGAGAUUUUAUGGCGGGCAAGCUGUUUAUCCCUUGGGUGACAUUGGCAAGCACAUCUAUAUCUUUAUCAAUCAAGGGUUUUCUGCACUGCAACUCCCACCCCCAACCUAAAGAUUGCCCCAGCCUGGAUCACAACAUUUACAACACGUAAGAACCUCAUUCCUUUUCAUCAACACUCCACCCAUCACUUUCUGUUACCUAGAUCUAAUCAUGUGUGUCCUAACAUCACAUUGCUCCAUAACAAGGGGCAGGAAGAAGAAAUGAAUAAAAGGAAAAGAAAAAAAGGUUUCGAUGGUACCUGCAAGUUGAUGCAGAGCUGACAGCUCCAUGGCUAGAAUAUUAUAUUUGCCCAAUAGAACAAUAGGUCUGCUGGCAAGCUGUUACCUACAGUACUGUAUCUGCUGAACAGGUGGAAAAAGCUCUCUUCCCCUCUGCAGUGGUUUAGGAACAUGAGGAGGUGACCACCACUCCAGUUUGGAAACAAGGAUUUGGUUCCCCUUUGUAGCUUUCAUAUUGCCUGAAUUCACCUGCAAUGUCUAUUUUCAGUACUUAAUAAAUACUCAUAUACACAUGAACAUACAAACUCACAUAUUUAACAAUUGUUCCAGUAAGACUUUAUUUAUGGACACUUACAUUUGAAUUUCAUGUGAUUUUUCACAUAUCACGAAAUAGUAUUCUUCUCUUGAUUUUUUUUUCAACUACUUAAAAUAGGUAAAAACUAUUCUUAGCUCACGGGUUAAACAAAAACAGGCAGCAGGCCAGUCCUGGCCACUGGCCAUACUUUGCCAACUCUUAAUCCAGGAGAGCCACUCACAGACAAUGCAGGGCCAGAAAGGGACAGUGACAUCUCACUUCCCAGUAGACCCCUGAUAAGCUGCAGAACUGCAGGCCCCUUCUGGAAUGGAGCUAAGGGCGAUGAGAACAUUGUGUGUUCUCUGGAGGCUGGGGACACAGGGAGCCUAUGGCCGGGGCCUGCCACUUAGCUGGAAGCUUCUGAAGGCAGGAUGACUCAGUGGAGCAGGCCCUGAUGCAAGAGGAACAGGACUCAUUUGCACUCAACUAUCUCUCAAAAAUAUUAUAAAGCUGUGUCUCCUAAACUUCAGCUCUCUCUGCAGUAAAUUUAAACUGUUGCGACAUUGUUGCGGGUGAUUUACUGGGGUGGUAAGCUUUUGCAUGUUUUUUCUUAAGAAAUUAUGACACAUCUGUAUAAUGGGUAUCAUGCAACCAUUUAAAAUUAUAAUUGCAGAUGACAAGAUAUAUUAGUCACAUAAACACAGCCUCAUAAUAUAUGUAAUGAAAAAAGUCAUACAAUAGCACUUAUUAUAUUGUCUAUUUGUGUAAAAUAUAUAUACCUAGAUAGGAGUAUGAUAUGCUCCAGUUGUUAACAGUAUUUGUAUCUGGAUGGUGGAAUCAUUGGUGGUGAAUAGUUUUGCCUUUUUAUCUUUUACACCACAGGUAUUUUGUGUUUAUAAUAAGAAAGAAAGCUUAUUUUUUUCUCAUUUAUACCAGUUUCAGAAGCUUACAAGUGCACAAAAAUGUUUCCUGCCGCCCCCACCAAGAUGGAACAGGGACAAGAAGAACUGAUCUGCAUCAUCCUCUAGAUUCUGUGUGCGCUUCCUGAUCCAUGCCUCCAAAUGACAAGGGUUACAGGCAUGCAGCAAUGAAUGUAGGCAAAAUCCUUUCUGUAUCUAAUUCAAAACACCAGUACCCCCAGUCUAGCAAAGGAAGUGAGAAUGCCCCAACCACUCUAAUCAGGGACAUGGACAGUUCUCCCAGCAGAAGUAAUGAGGGCCUCCUCUUGAGUCAAGAAACAUUUUAUUUAAUUAUUUUUUAGAGACAGGGUCUCACUUUGUCACAACUGGCAUGCAGUGGCAUGGUGGUAGCUCAGUCAGCUGGGCAUGGGGACACACACCUGUAGUCCCAGCUACUUGAGAGGCUGAGGUGGGAGGAUGGCUUGAGCCCAGUAGUUCAAGGCUGCAGUAAGGGUACUGCACUCCAGCCUGGGUAACAAAGCGAGACUCUGUCUCUUAAAUUAAAAAUGGCCAAGAGCAGCGGCUCACGCCUGUAGUUCCAGGCCUCUGGGAGGCUGAGGCAGGCAGAUUGCUUGAGCCCAGGAGCUAGAGACCAGCCUGGGCAACAUGGCGAAACCCUGUCUCUACAAAAAGUACAAAAAUUUAGCCAGACAUGGUGGUGUAUGCCUGUAGUCCCAGCUACUCUAUCCUUAUUCUAAGGUUUAUUCAGUAAACUUCUAAGGUUUAUACAGGAAUGACGUGGACUUGUAAACGGCCCCAGAGCUCAAUCCUAUUGGGCAACUGUGAGUUGGUGCCUGGGCCAGCGGCCUGGCUGACGCUUCUUGUUCAUUCUUCUGCCUCAGCCAGUAGGUUUGGCUAGAAUUCUAAGGCCUUAGACUUUGCCGGACUAGAAAAGGAAAGAGGAAAGGGAAGUAAAUCGCCGCAGGGGUCAAACCUGCUUUCCUGUGCUCUUCUGAGCUGCUCUCGGCUCCUGCUCUGCAGAGCUAAAACCUCUAAGGAAGCCACUCUUUUAUCAUCUCCAAAAGAUUACGGGAUCAUAUAGUCUAGGCUGCAACUAUACCAUCUGCUUAUGCCCUCGGAAUUUUAAAAACGAGACCCAUGUUUACAAAUGUGAGCUGACAUGUCACAUUUGUGGAGAAAUA